GGGAAGGUACCCGAGUGGCCAAAGGGAACGGUCUGUAAAAUCGUUGGCUUUAUGCCUUCGUGGGUUCGAAUCCCACCCUUCCCA
rnacentral:tRNA from 1 species